GCUUACGGCCAUACCAGCCUGGGUACGCCCGAUCUCGUCUGAUCUUGGAAGCUAAGCAGGGUCGGGCCUGGUUAACACUUGGAUGGGAGACUGCCUGGGAAUACCAGGGGCUGUAAGCA
rnacentral:rRNA from 1 species